AAUAACAAGUUAAAAUAAAACAUUUAAAAAAAUAAGAAAAAUUUUUUAAGUGUUUCGGGACGUAAACUACAUUUUUACCUCAUGACUCACAUGAGUUUACUUUGUGUCAGUUGUGGCGAGCUCAAAAGUGACCACACGAAAGACGAGCAAGGUGUGGGAUUAUUUUGAAUGAGAAGGAAAAAGAAGUUUUGUGUAAACUGUGUAAUGUCAAAUUGGCUUACAAUAACUCUACUGGAGCAAAGCGUAAUCAUAUUCAUUACAGGCACGUAGGCGUUAGCUUGGAGACUAGCCAAAGCCAGCUAAUGUCAAUCACUACAGCCCGCCACCGCACCUUCUAUUCCUCGAAGACCCACUUUGGUGGUGCUGCGUGAUGUCCAGGCGCUUUCCGAUAUUCUGUUGUCUUGCUUUUCAUUAUCUCUGAGUUUUUUUACUGAUAUUUAGUGCCAGUUUAACAUGAAGUGAUGAUUUUGUUCUGUUUGAUGCGUUGGAUGGAAACAGUGCUUGUUUGCAAAUGUUUUAUGUGAUAUUCCAAUUUUUGCACAUAAGUUAAAUUCGCAACUUUGGAUGGAAACCCUAACUUAAUCACCUCAGGUCCUGUCUUUUUUUUUGUUUUGUUAGUUUUGUUUUUAGAUGAUAUAGCCUACAUGACGAGGUAUGUUUUUAAAAGCCAUUUUAAUGCUAUUCCUUGGUAAAAUUCCCUAUUGUUUUUGUCUUGUGUUUUAAUAUGUUGGCUAACGUUAUAUGUAGAUGAAGAAUUCUGUCAGGCUAUUGAUUGAUUUUUAAUUGUUCUGCAUUUCCCCAUCUGAUUUUAAUAAGUAAGCAUUGGCAUAUAUAUAUACACACAUUACAAAUGGGAAACCUUGCAGGACAAUGACAGAAAGCUUGUCCACUGUUGGAACCUGUUAACACUGGUGUUCCACCCUGUUAUGCUCCAUCCAUUCCACCCUGUUAUACUCCAUUCCAUCCUGUUAUGCUCCAUCCAUUCCACCCUGUUAUGCUCCAUUCCAUCCUGUUAUGCUCCAUCCAUUCCAUCCUGUUAUGCUCCAUCCAUUCCCCCCUGUUAUGCUCCAUCCAUUCCAUCCUGUUAUGCUCCAUCCAUUUCACCCUGUUAUACUUCAUUCCACCCUGUUAUGCUCCAUCCAUCCUGUUAUGCUCCAUCCAUUCCACCCUGUUAUGCUCCAUUCGCUCCGAUUAUGCUCCAUCCAUCCCACCCUGUGAUCCUCCAUUCCAUCCUGUUAUUCUCCAUUCCACCCUGUUAUGUCCCAUUCCAUCCUGUUAUGCGCCAUCCAUUCCACCCUGUUACACUCUAUUCCAUCCUGUUAUGCUCUAUCCAUUUCAUCCUGUUAUACUCCAUUGCACCCUGGUAUACUCCAUUCCAUCCUGUUUUUCUCCAUCCUUCCCCCCCUUUUUCUCCCCAUUCCAUCCUCUUAUGCUCCAUCCAUUUCACUCUGUUACACUUCAUUCCACCCUGUUAUCCUCCAUCCAUUCCUUCCUGUUAUACCCCAUUCCACCCUGGUAUUCUCCAUUCUAUCCUGUUUUGCCCCAUCCAUUCAUCCCUGUUUUGCUCCAUUCCAUCCUCUUAUGCUCCUUCCAUUUCCCCCUGUUAUCCUUCUUUCCACCCU
ensembl:lncRNA